CUACGGGGGGCAGCAGUGAGGAAUCUUGCGCAAUGGGUGAAAGCCUGACGCAGCAACGCCGCGUGAGUGAUGAAGGCCUUCGGGUCGUAAAGCUCUGUCAAGUGGGAAGAACCUGCAUCUUGAUAAUACCAGGGUGUACUGACGGUACCACUGAAGGAAGCACCGGCUAACUCCGUGCCAGCAGCCGCGGUAAUACGGAGGGUGCAAGCGUUAUUCGGAAUUAUUGGGCGUAAAGGGCGCGCGGGCGGCCGUUUAAGUCAGAUGUGAAAUCCCGGGGCUUAACCCCGGAAGUGCAUUUGAUACUGGAUGGCUUGAGUAUGGGAGAGGGAAGUGGAAUUCCUGGUGUAGAGGUGAAAUUCGUAGAUAUCAGGAGGAACACCGGUGGCGAAGGCGACUUCCUGGACCAAUACUGACGCUGAGGCGCGAAGGCGUGGGGAGCAAACAGGAUUAGAUACCCUAGUAGUC
rnacentral:rRNA from 1 species